UUAACCUUUAUAGUGCCACGGGUCUGUCCUUGGCGGCCGUGCCACCAGGAACCGAAGCCUUUCCAGCGCCUUGCAUUGUUUUGCUUCCAUUGAGAGGACAAAGCAACUGAUUGAUAUAGUAACAAAGCCUGUUGGAGUGUCGCAAACCAUUAGUUGCAGGAGUUGUAGGUCCUUCUGGCUGUGCUACGUAGGACACUGCCUCAGCAUGGCCUGAUUAGUGGUUCCAGGUCCGCGCCCGGGAUCCAAACCAGUGAAACCCUGGGCUGCCGAAGCAGAGCGUGCGAACUUAACCACUUGGCCACAAGGGAGGCUUUCUGAAAACUGUGCUCAGAAGACAUGGCAUGAAUAAAGAGGAUUCCGUUGACAAGACUAGUCUUCCACUUAGGCAGUAGAAGGAACUGAAGGAUGAUCUUUAUGUUUCCUGCAACAGAAGAUGGUAGAGUCAUUCACUUAUGAGGAAAAACUACAUCUGUGAUUUCCAGCUGAGCCAAACAGACAAUGGAGCCUAUUGACACAGAAGGUUCAACAGCUCAGCAGAAAGAAGACCAAAGUUUUUGACUGGGACAAUACACACAUAUACACAUACAGGAAAAGCAAGAUGGUACAGUGGACAAAGUUUCAGGGUUCCUGUUGAGCUGGGGUUCCAACUCUGAAAAGCUGAACUAGUCAUUUAACCUCAUCAAGUCCGUCUCCUCGUCUGUAAAAUGAGAGUAAUAGUAGUAUCCUUUUAUGAUCCGUAGGAUUGAAAUAUUCUUAUAAUAAAUGUCAAAAUGCUUUCCCAAUUAUAAAGUGCUAAAAGAUAAAGAUACUAUUAUUAUUAUAAUACCGUCACUGCCAUAUAUGAAUUUAUCUAAGACAAUAAAGAUUCAUUUACUGUUAAUACCAGCAUUUGCACACACACACACACACACAUAUACACACACGUGAGUAUUGUUAAAUAUACCGUAAGGUUUCCAUUUUUGGCUAAAGUAUUCAAUCUUUUUUACAAAUAUUCUUUCUCUCCUCACUUUAGAAGACAGGAGGACAAGAGGAACUUUAAAAAUAGGUAAAGGAAAGCAUAAUAACUGUCUUCUUUGUCUUAAGUUUAUCCAGCCACCCAUGCCUGAUAGUGAAUGCUCUGGGCAUGAAUACACUUUUGAGACCAUAAAGAAUUACUUUAACUUUACUUUAGCCUUUUAUCCAGGGGAAUAAGAAUAUUUAAUGUUCAGGUCUACAAUAAUCAUUUCUCUGAAAAUAACAUUUUUCUGCUUAUUCAGACUUCCUCCUCAUGCUUCUGGUGUCUUUUUGGCAUCGAACAGACAUCUGGAAACUCCAAACCUUCCAGAAUCUUGUCUUCUCCCUUGGGAAUUCAUGAUUGGACUCUUGACCUUUGACCUUCUCCAUACUGCUCUCAUGGAGAGCCCUCAUCUGAUGGUCCUGGUGCAAGAGGGGAGAGAUAUUUAUAGAAGAUCAAGUUAUUGUUCAGGCUUGUGUCUCUAUGUUUAAACACUGGAUUUCUGCCUCCAAAUUAGUAGUUUACUAUGUUUUCUUAAGUGCUGGAAAUUUAUGGAGUUAUCAUAGUUGAAUUCUUGUUCCUAAAACAAAAACAAAAGAAAAUACCACUUACUGAUUUAUUUCUAUUUUUAUGUCUUUGGAUGGCUUGUAUUGCCUUGUAGUAGCAAGCAAGAGUGUUACAAAAUUGUUUUCCCCAGAAUCUGAUUCUUUUUGGAGGGGUACUCCAUGUAUAUUCUUCAGUAAUGAUGCUGUCCUCACACCCAAGAAAUCACUAAUAGAAAGGGUGGUGUUUACGUUGUUAAGCUAUUAGCCAUUUCUUUGACUUUUUAAUAUUUUGUCUGACAAUUGAGAUAAUUAGCAAAAUGUGAAAUCUUUAUGUGUGCUGAUGAUUACCUAGGAGACUUAGAAAAUAUUUCAAAUCAUUUAAAACCAGGAAGAACUGUGGAGGCGAUGGGGUUGCUGAAGCUAAUUCACAGUAUCAUAAAAGCUCAAGUUAAAAGGCACUAUGGCCCCAUGGAGAAGAAUUCCAAAUAAUUUAUGUAGAUAUUCUACCCUCCCCCUCCUCCAAGGAGAGGGAGCAUAACACCCAUUCCUUAGGUGUGAGCUGCACAUAGUGACUUCCUUGCAAAGUGUACAGCAUGGAAAUGGAGGGUGGAAAGGGGAAGGAAGAGAAACUUUAAAGUGGAGAAACCUGACAACUACUGCCUCAGCCAAGUGAUCAAGGCCAACGUUGACUGUCAUAAAUCAUAUUGACAGUGUAUAUCCUUGAAAUGAUGUGAUGAAGAUGGCGCCUUACCUCUGUAGUCUUCCUCUUAAAAUCCCAUAGCCCCAGUCUUAUCUUGAGAAAAACCACACACAAAUUCCAAUAGUGGGGCAUCCUACAAAAUACCUGACCAGUACUCCUCGAAACUGUCGAGAUCAUCAAAAACAAGGCAUAUCUGAGAAACUGCCACAGCAAAGAGGAGCCUACAGGGACAGGACAACUAUAUGGGGGGUCCUGGACGGUAUUCUGGAACAGAAAAAGGGCAUUAGGUAAAAACUAAGGAAAUCUAAAUGGACCAUGAACUUUAGUUAUUAAUAAUGGUUAUUAAUAUUAAUAAUUGGUUCAUUAACUGUAACAAAUGUAUCAUACUAAUGUAAGAUGUUGAUGGAGGAACUGGAUGUGGGGCAUAUGGGAACUCUCUAUGUUAUCUUUCAAUUACUCUGUAAACCUAAAAUUAC
rnacentral:lncRNA from 1 species